rnacentral:rRNA from 1 species
CGCGUAGGCGGUCUUUUAAGUCAGAUGUGAAAGCCCGGGGCUUAACCCCGGAAGUGCAUUUGAAACUGGAUGACUUGAGUAUGGGAGAGGGAAGUGGAAUUCCUGGUGUAGAGGUGAAAUUCGUAGAUAUCAGGAGGAACACCGGUGGCGAAGGCGACUUCCUGGACCAAUACUGACGCUGAGGCGCGAAGGCGUGGGGAGCAAACAGGAUUAGAUACCCUGGUAGUCC